AUUAUUACCGCAUACGUCUUGCGAGAGAAAGUGGGGGACCUUUGGGCCUCACGCUAUACGAGCAGCCGAUGUCUGAUUAGCUAGUUGGUGGGGUAAGAGCCUACCAAGGCGACGAUCAGUAGCGGGUCUGAGAGGAUGAUCCGCCACACUGGGACUGAGACACGGCCCAGACUCCUACGGGAGGCAGCAGUGGGGAAUUUUGGACAAUGGGCGCAACCCUGAUCCAGCCAUGCCGCGUGUCUGAAUUAGGUCUUCGGGUUGUAAAGGACUUUUGUCCGGGAGCAAAUCCCAGUGGUUAAUACCUACUGGGGCUGAGAGUACCGGAAGAAUAAGCACCGGCUAACUACGUGCCAGCAGCCGCGGUAGUACGUAGGGUGCAAGCGUUAAUCGGAAUUACUGGGCGUAAAGCGUGCGCAGGCGGUUGUGCAAGUCUGAUGUGAAAGCCCCGGGCUUAACCUGGGAACGGCAUUGGAGACUGCACGACUAGAGUGCGUCAGAGGGGGGUAGAAUUCCGCGUGUAGCAGUGAAAUG
rnacentral:rRNA from 1 species